GGCGAGUGAAAGAAGGUGACCGAGCCAGAAGGAGAGAGCACAGAUGACUUGGUGAUGGUAUGGUAUGGUCCUCCUUCUCAUCACUUCUUAGGCAUGGAGAGAUGAAGGACAGAUGGAGUACCGCACAAGGAUACAAUGGAGGAAGCAGGCCAUGACUAAGACCCCAAGGAUGAAGAAUGGAGAGCCCUGACCGUCCUCCUGGCCUCCAGUCAUUUCCCCACUGAAGAUGGCCGUACCCUCUAGCCUGGGAGGACCAUGGCCCAACAAUGGCAGUGGGAGAGAAGAUGACUCUGUGGAGGACACUCUCCGUUAUCUGUGAUGACAUACACCAGCCCCCGAACAAUUUAACCUCAAGCUGCCCUCUGCAAGACUUCGGUAGCACUGGACUUCCCUCAUUCCUGGUAGGCAGAGGUUGUUAGCCAUCAGCCUGGAAGAUCUGAAGGAAAAUUUGGCUUUGGGUAAAGUCAAAGGGGAUGGCUCUCAGAGAUAAGGCCAGUUCAUGAGAAGUAAGCAGGGCUUUGCUACCUGUGCAGGGCAGAGCUGCCCUGGGCUGGGGGGAGUUCUGAUGUCAACAUCUCUGGAGGCAGAUGACAACUUCAGAAGAGGCAAAAUUUCCCCAGGAGAAAAGAAAACAGGAGGUCUUCAGUCAACAUGGAGUUUGAAGCCGCCCAUGGCUGAAGCUCAGAAUACUCUGGAGAGCUGAGAGUCCUUCUUCAGCGGCUGGGCCGUUCUGCAGCAGCUGCAGCCGCCUCUGGGCCUGGGCGUCCCGGUGGGCAGGCGUGCGUAGGUGUUGCAGCAAGGCUAGGCGGGAGGGCGUGUCCCAGGCGCACAACAGGCAGUGGUAAAGCCCGGGCUCCGGCCCUGCCUCUGCUCCCUCCAUUUCCAGCAGAAACUAGAAGCAUGGAAGAGGCCAGCUCAGAUGUAGAAGGCACACCUCCAGACCUCUGGGGGCUGUUCCUCCUCGCUUAGACUCUUUCAUGCCUGGGUGGCCUCCCUCCACCCUGCUAUGGCUUCCCAUCUGCUUCUCCUCUCCAUUUCCUUCUUUCUCCCAUCAGUCCUGGGUCCCCCAGUGUGUGGCUGGGAGUUGCUUCUGUCCUGGAUACCAUGAUGGCUGGACUGAGAUGGCCUCAUCCCUAUAGCAUGCUAGAACAGCUAAAUCAAGUCUGUUUCUCCUCCUCGGAGCCCACUGCCCUUUGGCCUCUCUCCAGGUCUGCCCAGCACUCUGCUACCCUGUUCUUCAUGUCCAUCACCACAGGUUUCUCCUCCACCUCUCUGCGCUGCGUCUCCCACCCUACCCUGUCCCUCCUCCCUCUCCCGCCCCCUCCUGCCUGAACGUCACCUUAUAGAUCUGGCUGUUUUCUUCGUGGGCUGAACCCCGGGUGUGCAGCUGCAUCUUCUCCUUGCUGUUGGACUCGAAGUCACAGAUGUUGCAGCGCAGGUGAAGUGGGGAGAUGGAGCCGUAAGAAGCCCCAUCCCCCAGGGCCAGUAGGGAAGGGGUGCCCAUGGCUCCGCCCCCCUCCCGGAGGUGGGCUGCUAGCUGGUAUUUCUGAGUGUGUUUGUCGGUCUUGAGGUGGAGCUGGAAGUUGGCCUUGAGCUGGGUGCCAUAGCAGCAGAGCUUGCAGCGGUGGGUAUCCCCAGCUACCUCCUUCCAUUCGGCCUCCGGCAGGCUCCGGCCAAUGCUGCAGUGGUACAGCAGCAGCUCCAGGCUGUCUGUGCUGAAAGCCUGGCACACCAGGCAGCGGAACACCUUCAGGGCUGGGCUGUCAUCUGGGGAUGGCGAAGUGGGCAGCCCAUCAGAUGAGGAGCCCAGGAGCUGACUUGGUGGCAGAUGGGUCUCAGGGGAGAGGCUGCCAGGGGCUGGGGGGGACAGAGACAGAUUAGGAAGAAAUGAGCGGGGCACUUAGGAUAAGCUGUGUUUACCUAAGUGGGGAGAUGACCUUUGGGAGAAGGCAGGGAAUACAAUUGGACUUGGGUACGAAGUGGCAGGAGCAGAGAGGGGACUUACCAGCUGUGGGGAACUUGCGGGCAGGCGCUCCAAGGUGGUGGAAACCAUUUAGGAGUAGCUGGGCUUCAAGGGGCUUGUCUGGCCUCAGCCCGGGCCCAGGCAUGGGUGUCUGAGGCUGUCCUAGGGCCUGGGGCCCAAAGUACUGGAAGAGUUCAGGAGGGUUGGUGGGGGCAGCCCCUGGUGGGGGAGGAGGUCCUGGCCCCACCAGCCCUGGUGGCAGGCCAAGUGGCAGCCCCUGGUGCAACAUCAGGACGUUCUGCAUGUGUUUCUCAGAAGUCAUGUGGAUGCGCAGGUUUCGGGAGAUGUUGGUUUCGUAGCUGCACACUUUGCACUGCCAGGAUGACUUGGUCUUGGGCUCUUUAUCCCCGACAGAGGUGGGUGGGAGGGAUGCCUCCGGGGGACUCGCCUGCCCGCCAGGCCCUGCCUGGAAGCCCUGCAGGUUGGCCAGGUGCUUGUCGGACUGCAUGUGGAUGCUGAGGUUGCCUUUGGUGGUGGUGGAGUAGUUGCAGACAUCGCAGCGGUAGGGCUUGUAGCCGCAGUUGUAGCUCUCUCCGCGGGCCAGGCGGGGGUGGGCGCCCCCGGCGCUACAGUAGCUGCAGUGGCUGUUGCUCUCGGGGUGCUUCUCCCGCAUGUGCACGUCCAGGGUCUGCUGGUACUUGUAGUGCCAGUUGCACUUGGGACACUUGAGAGUCUUGCAGGAAUUGCGUGAGUGUAGCAGGGACAUGUGACUGGACAGGCUGAGGCCCUGGAAGGCGGCAGGGGCUGGAGUGUAGUCAUCGGCCAGGCGACAGGACGGAGGUGGGUCACUGGUAUCUUCGGGAGAGCCUGCUGGAGCUGGGAGCACGGCCACCUCCUUAGAGGUGGGUGAGCUUUGGUUGAGCGGGAGGCAGAGCCCUCCAUCCUCUUCCUGCCCCUCAGGGAACCAGUCUGGCCCCGCCUCGCCUCUUGGUACUGGCGAAUCUUUGGCUUGGGUUGGGCUGGGGUCCCAGGUGGCUAGGGCUGUGGGUGGGGAUGGUGGGCUGAGGGCUAUAACCUCUUCAGCGGGGAGAACAAGGGCUUGACCAUCUGCCUCUGGGGGGCCGUCCUCAGCCUGGGCUCCAUUUGUCUUCACAGUCACUGUGCUGGUGUCCGGUACUUCGGGAGAAGGACGGGUAAGAAAUUUUGGUUCCAGAAAGCUUAGGAGGGCCAUGCCGCCAUCAUGACCCUCCUGAAGUACGGCUGGGCUGCCCAGCAGGCCCUGGUGGUGGGCAGGGCUCAGCUUCACUCCAUGAGAAAGUGUGUGACCUAUGAAGGUCUGGAGCCUGCCGAAACCCAGGCGGCAGAGAAGGCAGAUCCAAAACAUCGCCCUGUGGUCUUCCCGUCGGCUCCCCAGGGGGCCAUCUUUGGGAUCUUCGGUUGGGUUUGGAACCAGCUGGUAGCUCCAGAAGGAUCCAUCCCUUCUCUCACAGGCAGCCAGAGACGGCGCUGAGGUAUCGUGGGACAACAUUUGGUCAGAAGAGCUAAAGCCUUGGAUUGGGUCGAAGCCAUGUUGGAUGUGAAGGGUGGUAAGGUGUGAGGAGGGGAAGUGGGUGAGGAGGGGCAGGCUGGGCUCUUCCUUGGCGCUUGCCUCAUCCCAGGGGAAGCCCUUUGGUAACGAGAGUUCACUGCCCCUAGGCAGGGGCAGGUUGGCCAGUAGGUAGGCCUGGCCUCCAGCUGCGAAGAAUAAGUGGCUGCUGAGGUCCAAAGGAAGGAUCUCUUCCUCCUCCUUUGCCACCCCAAGGUCCUUUGGUGGGAUGUGGCCACAGCCAGGCUCUUCUUGGGGCUCUCCAAUCUCCUUUGGUGGGUCAAGGUCACUGCCUGACUCCAGACGCUCUCCCCCCGGCUCUGAGGACCUUAUGCUCUCAGAGGUGGAGGGGGCAUCAGGGGGAUCUUUGGUGACAGGAUCAGAGGUGCUGGAGGAGGAGGUCUCUGGAGGUGGUGACCGAACAUUGUGCCCAGGGGAAGGAACGGUUCCGGAGGGAGAGGCUGAGUUAAGGGUAGCCAUGGUAGACGGAGGACUGCUGAGGGUUCAUUUCAGCGUGACAGCCAGUACCCUGCAUGGAGGCAUGGGGAGAGCAGUGCCGUAAGAUCUCGGGGUCCCCAGCAAGGCUGAAUGUCUGGACUCUUUAGCCCUACUAUGCUCAGACUCAGGUGCCCCCAUGCCAACUUGAAGCUCUACUUAGUGUGUCUAAAACCAGAGUUCACGAUCGCUUUCCAAACCAGCUCUUCUCCAUCUUGCAAUCUCAAAUGUGGUACCACUCAACCCUCGGCUUAUAUGUCUAUGCUAUGCCCUGUAGCUUCCAUUCCAUAACCAGUUCCAGGAUGCAUCAGACCCUACACUCACAUCUUCCUCACCAGCAGCACCCUGGUCGGACCCACUGGUAUCUUUUUGAGCUGAUGCACCAGAUGGGAUACUCUUUUCCUUCCCACCUCUGCCCUCUCCAAGCUGACAGCCAAAACAACCCCUUCAUGUUCAACUACAGAAAAUGCCCAACAUGUGUAGGGAGAACCUCUGUCUGCUGCCCGCUGUCAGUGGCAAUCAGCGCAUGGGCGGUCUCGUCUUCGUUUGUGCCCUCACCAAAACUGCUUUACUCCCCGCGGUGUUUUAAUUUUAGGUUAGAAUUAAAUAUAAAUUUUAGGUUACAAUUUUCCUUUCUUUUUUAAGACGGGCUCUCGAGUAACCCAGCCUAACUCUGAACUUCGGAUGCUCUUACCUCCACAUCUGCUGUUUAGGGAGUUCUGGGGAUUGAACCCAGGGCUUUGUGUCUCCUAGCUAUGGCCUUACCUCUCCCUCAUGGCUGUCUUAAAAAAUUACUUGUGUGUAUAUAUAUGUGUAUGCCAUGGCACACACGUGGAGACCAGAGAACAACUUGUGGGGGUCAGUUCUCUCCUUUUACCAUGUGGGUCCCGGGGAUGGAGCUUAGGUUGUCAUGGCUUGGCAGCAAGCACCUUAUCACUGUGCCAUCUUGUUAACCCUCAUAAUUGUCUCUAAACAUGCAGCCCAUAUUACAGUCUACUUAAAAGCCCAGUAGUGCUUUCUCAUCACAUGCAAUAAAAUCGAGACUCCUUUCCCUGAUCUGCAAAGGCCUGUAGCUCCCAGAACGUCUGCUUUUUUCUCCCAGUUUUAACCCACUGGCAGCUAGCCAGCCUUCCCGCCUCUGUCUUUCUGCCCACAACACCCUUUCGCUCUUUUUCUUGGUCCUUCCUGUCUCUCACACAAGCCAACUUCAUCCCUUGGUCCUUGCCCAAGUGUUCAGCCUGCUGGGGAAUCCCUGACAUUCCCGUCACCCCCCAGACCACCUGCUCAGACUUCUCACUGGCUAGUGAAAGAUUUUUUUUCUGGCUAAUUCUUCUAAGAGAGCCUGUCUGUUUUCUUAGCUCUCUACGAUUACACAGACAUUCCAGUUCACACAUAACCCAGGCUAUAGCCUUAAGUUCAGCUAGUUGAGAGUAACCCUGAAUCCUCCUGCCUCUACUCUCCAAGGUAUGUGCUGUCAUGCUAAUGAAUGAGUCCUGGGGAAGAUCCCCAGGUCCAGCCCCUCCGCAAAGUCUUUUUGCUUUUCUUGGCACGAACCUUUCUCCACUGUAUUCCAGAUCCAGACUAGUAGGGACGUGCCAAGUUUAAGGAAGUUCUUUGGCUAGUUGGAAGACAGUAGCUCGCUCCUUUGUAGCCCUCUCUACUCUCCAAAUUGAAGAUACAAAUAUUAGUAACAAGUCCUAGUAAUAAUGGUACUAGCAGCUGUUCAAGUAUUUAUAGCGUGGUCUUGGCACCAGCUAAAGGACUUAUCAGGGUCUCACUGCAUUGCACAGCAUUCUCAAAGGUUACUGAUAGUAACUGGGCUCCAAAAUGGGGGAACAGCUUAGCACACAGUAGGGCUGCUUAGCAUGCAAGCAGUCCUGGGCUCAGUUCCCAGCUCUGCAUCAGUUGGGGGCUGGGGGUAGGUUCAUGCUUGUAAUUCCAGUACUCGGGCAGUAGAGGCAGGAGGAUCAGAAGUCCUGCCUACACAGCAAGUUCAAGACUAGCCUAGGAUACAUGAGACCCUGUAGAGUUAGAGGGGGUUAGGAGCGGGGAGGGAGGUUGGUUUGUGUGUGGGAGGAGCUGUCAGGCCUUCUUCAAAAUUAUCAGUUCCCCAUGAAUCCAUCUAACUCCUCUUUCUCUCUGAAUCAACAACAAUCUCUAAUGAUAAACUGUCUAACAUUCAGGCCACACUGGUUCAGAGAAAGGGCGAGGGGGUGGCCUCUUACUCCUUGGGCCGUCCUUAACCCUCAUCUCCAGAGUCCCAGAUUUGAUAUGGGUCCUUGGUCCAGGAGCCUGGUUGCUUUCCCACUUCCCUCUUCCCUCCUGCCCCUGGGAAUCCAGCUUGGCCUGAGUCAGAACCUUCAAGAACCUUGAGGGGCAGAACUAGCAUGCUAAUGAGAUGCAAAUAAGUACCUGGAAAUCAAAGGAAAAUGACGAAUCUGGGUGGGGCUGGGGGUGGAGCCCUAGCAUUGAUGGAGAAAGGCAUUCCUUCUGAGGAUCCUUGGUGGGACAGAGGAUGCUAAGUUUGUUGGUUUGUGAGGGUUCAGUCAUUUCCACAGGCUGGGCCCCACUAGAUAGGGAGAGCUGAGGGUUGACAUGGUGGGCCCUUUAACUCACCUGCCGGGGCAGCAGACGAGCCCCGCUUACAAGCAUUCAGCUCCCUCUUGGCUCUCCACUCACAGUGCUACAUCACAGCUCAGAGGCAGCCUGAAUAGGACCCGACCCUGGAGUAACUCCCAGAUUCCCGCUCUCUCUAAAGCUUAAUUCUCCUACUAGAAAAGGACUGCUGGGUUGCUAAGUAGAAACCAAAGGGGCUCAGCUUUUGGCCAGCUUGUGGGUGAGACCCGUAACACAGCCGGGUAGGUCAGCUGGUGGCUUAUUUAAAAUUGCAAAUCUCUUCCCUACCUCCCAGCCUAUCCCUCCUCUUCAGGAGAGAAUUUCCAUUGCAAAUUUAUCUCUCCCCUACCUAUUUCCCUCGUCCCUUUCUCCGAAGUUUCUCCCACCGCGCACUAGCGAUUAGACUUUUGUGGCCAGGGUGUUCCCCACUUUUAAUCCUUCUGCCUCCCGCUUCUGACUUCCCCCUCUGAAGCUCUAAGCCCCCUUUUUGUUUUGCCCUUCUUGCCUUGAACUGUUGAUGGCACGAAAGCCUCUAAAAAAUCGGGGCUCAUCUACCUGCUAUCCCUAGCCAAGAUUCUCAGUCACCCCUGUCCCACAGCCAUUUCUUCCUGUGGUUCCCAGCAUUUCUUAAGAGCAGCUCUCCCGUGGGCCUGGUCUCACAGGAGGGUAGAGGCAGAAGGCAGCCGCCACAGACCAUGACAUUACAGCUCAGAAGGAAUUGGAGCGAAGGCGGCUGGUGUUCUGGAGGUGGGGGACAGUAGAGGAAAGGGCUGGGCCUCCGCAGAGCAGGCAGUGGCAGCCGUGUGAUUAGAGCGGAGAUUGAUGUGAAGGGGCGCCACAGACCGCAGAGCGAGUCAAUAAAACCGGAGGAUCGCAUUAGAGGCGACAGGGAGAGCUUUAAAUUACAAGGCUGCUGCCACCACGGGGAAUGGAAGGAGGGAGCCCUGGAGCCUAGGGAGGGCGGAGAGUUCUGAGGGUGCAGUCGCCCCGAAAGAUGGAUGGAUCGACAGCUCUAAAGCGGCCCUCAGUCCUGGGAGCUCCCUCGUGGCCUUCCAUUCUUCCCUCCCGUCCCAGCUCCUCACUAGGGUGAGGUGGAGAGGAAGGGAUAAGGCAAGGCUGUGGAGAAACAGGCUUUUCGUUCUGGGAACUGUCUCCUUCCCCCUUCCGCCAGGUUUUCCUGUCUGCCUGUUACUCAAGAGAGGGAAGCCUGGGAGUGCUUUCAAGGCUCGACAGGAACUGCUGUCCCGCAAACAGAAGGCAGUCAUAAUUACUGACCUGAAGAGUAAGGCAUAUAUGUACACACACACACACACACACACAUAUAUCAGGAGGCAGAAACUGAAAGGCUUGAAUUUGAGGUUCAGCAUACAAGUGGAAGAUCUUUAAGGUAGUCUUUGAGACCCUGUAGGAUGGGAAACUGACAGACAACUAGAGAAGUCCUGGAGCCAGGGGGCAAGGGCAGAGCAUGGAAAUGGAGUUAGAGGCGCCACAGAAUUUGAAGCCACGGUGGCCCAGGGUGUUUCCCUCCAAGCCCCACCUGGAUCAGAUUAGGAGAAGCACCACUGCCCCCUGCUGGUCACAGAGGGAACACCACCAAGCCCCAGCUCUGCAAACCGAAUAAACAAAACCUGCCCCCCUCCAUUUCCUCAGGCCCAGUGAAGGGCAAAAGAUUUUGUGGCAACAGCUUGGGCACCAAGACUCUACCAGCCCUGAGCUUUACAUCUUCAAGUGUAAGAGACCAAAGUCAUGCUGGCCCGGGCCCUCACCAGCACUCAACCUUGCUUAUCCAGACUACUUCCUCACGUGGAAACCUGGGAGUAAUGGGGUGAGGGCCAUAAGGGCAAUCAAUAUACAGAGUGCAUGGCCUGGGUGUCAGUGAGGGCCAUGCUCUACCCCCUGCUUGGCCAUCCCCUCCCUCGGGGCAGAGCACAGUGUUUGGAAGGAGGCUGGCAUUCCUCCUGCUCCGCCUCUCAAUGGGGCCAGGUUCACACCUAGUCCUCCCACCAUUUACUGCUUUGCUUGGCGAUUAUCCCUCUUUGCCCCUCCUCUAAAGCCCAGGCUGGCAGUAGAUUACCCAUGAUCCUCCUGCCUCAGCUGAUAGGUCGAGAUUCCCUAGGAGGUUGGCAGAACUCAAGCCUUACUUACUUGGCCUUGGUUUAUUGUUCUGCUGCUGGCGAUUGAACCGGGGGUCUUGCAUAUGCUGGACGAGGCUUUACCUCUGAGCUCCUCACUCAGCUCUUGGCUGCUGGGUCUGGAGACACUCAUCACCUCAGAGCAAAAGGAGGAUGUUUCCCCGGCUCACACGCAGGCUAGGGAAGCAGCUAAUACUGAGCCCAAACUGGUAUGGCCUCCCCCUGCAGCAUUUACAUUCCCUUUGGAUCUGGAGUCACAGGCAGUUGUGAAUCACUAGACAUGGGUGCUGGGAACUGGGACCUCACAAGAGCAGUAAGUGAUCUCAACGGGCCGGGCAAUCCCAGCACUUGGGAGGCAGAGGCAGGUGGAUGUCUGAGUUCGAGGCCAACCUGGUCUACAAAGUGAGUUCCAGGACAGCCAAGGCUACACAGAGAAACCCUGUCUCGAAAAACCAAAAAAAAAAAAAAAAAAAAGUGAUCUCAAUGGCUGAGCCAUUUCCCCCGCCCCCCUUUUCCCCUUUGAGACUCGGUCUCAUAAUGUAGCCCUGGUAAGUCUAGAACUCUCUCUGAAGACCAGGUUUGUCUUUGAACUCAAAGUGAUCCUCCUGCCUCUGCAGCCCUAGUACUGGAAUUAAAGGUGUGUGCUACCAUAUCCAAACAGUCCUUUGAUCUUAUUUUUUUUUUUAAGAAAAUAUCGAUCUUCUAAAAAUAAUUUUUAUUUACUCUGUGUGUGUAUGCAGCACACAGGCACUCAUUGUGGGUCAACAGGCUUGGGCACAGGUCCUGUGCCUUUAUGGACCGAACCAUACUACUUUCUGGUCCCUCUAGUGCUUUGAGAUGGGAUCUGACGAAGCUGCUUAGGAUGGCCUUGAACUCUGGAGCCCAAGCAAACCAAAACACCUGUGCUACACCCACUUUAGCCUUCCAAGUGUCGAAGAUGACAGGCCGGUGCCAUUAGGCCCAGAUUCCCUUACAUUUAAAAUAAUAAUAAUAGUAAUAAUAAUAAUUCUCUCUCUCUCUCUCUCUCUCUCACACACACACACACACACACACAAUCUUACCUUGAGUUUAAAAGGAAAAUUGCAAUGCACUAUCCCAGAGUCCAUUUUGAUUCUACCUCUCCUACUGACCUCUCUCCAUCCUCAUGAAUAUUUAGGAAGUGCUUACUUUGUGUAAGAUUAAUUUUGUGAGCACUGAGGAAAGUGAAAUAAGCAAGCAGAAGAAAUGCCACAGAGGACAAAGAGAGAGACAGUUAAGGCUGGGAAAGAAGGGGCCCAGGAGUGAGGAGGAGCCGGCAAUGGAUCGUGAUUUGCAUAUGUAAAUACUACAGUCUUGCAGGCUGGGUGGUUCGACGUCCCUAGAGAGAGGAAGACUACCAGGAGGCUAUUUUAUUCCUUGCAAGAUGCUUAAGGUGGACUUGAGGGGACCCGGUAGGUUGUGAGGAGAAAAAGGGAAGACUCAGAGAAAGAUGGAGGUGGGUGGUAAGGAGCUGGGUGAAGCCACACACACUAAUAUGCGUAUGGGUUUCUAGGCAUGUUCACUGCUAGCAGAGGUGGGUGUCCAUCACUGAGUUCAAGGACAAACCUGGUCUUCAGAGUUUUAGACUUAUCAGGGCUACAUGAUGAGACCAGAGCAUCCUGCCCAGGCAUUUUGUUUGAUGACUAGACAUUAGAUGUCCGAGGGUGGUAGCAUAAGACUGCUUUGGUUAAAUAGGAGUGUUUAACCAUUUUAAAAAACUACUUAUUAUAUAUAUGUGUGUGAGGUUGCUCGAGGGAGCCAGAAAAGGGGACAUCAGACUCCCCCCCGGGAGUGGGAGAUCUAGGCAGUUGUAAGCUGCCCAAUGCAGGUACCAGGAACUGAACUCUGGAAGAACAGCAACUGCUGGGCUUGAACCCCUGUGAGACUUAGAGCUUAGAGCAGCCUGUGUUCCACGAGCCUCAGGCUUGGAUGGUUGCGUGAAGGCAGCUCAGAACCUUUCUUUUGUAGGAGCACUUGGAAGUGAAGGGGCAGAGGCUGAUCUGCCUUAAAUCUGGACUCACCAUCUUAUUUGAUCUAGGCACAGGCUAUCCCCGGAGGAUUCUCUGAAUUUGGAGGACUACCACAGUAAGGUCUGUUAAGUGUCCCUGGUUCUCCAAUUUGAUGUGAGCUUCUAUGAUGUAAUGAUGUCAUUUUAAUACUAUUGUAGCAGCCUUGCCUAUGAUCCCAGCUACUGGGAGACUGAGACAGGAGGAUUAUAAGCUUGAGAAUGUCUGGGCUACAGACUGUGGGGCCCUGUCUUAAAAUAACAAGUGCCAAGCGGUAUAUGCAUGUAAUCCCAGCACUCCAGAGUUGGAAACAGAAGGGCCGGGAGUUCAAAGCCAACCUUGGCUAUACAGAGUUACAAAGGGAUCUGGCUUACAGCUCAGUAGUAAAAACAUUUGCCUAGCAUGUGUGAAGCCCUGGAUUAACCCCAAAUACUACUAAACAGACAAACAAACAUGAAUAAAUAAAUCAUAUUAGAACAACUAUUGCAGUUUGAACAUCUCUAUUCUAAAAAUUCAAAGUAUAGGCUAAAUGUAUACCGUAGUGGAGUGUUUGCCUCAUAUGCACAAGGCCUUGGGUUAAUAUUCAGCACUGAAAGACAUAAACAGAUUAAACCCUCCUGGGCUUGGUGGCUCAUGCUUAUAACCCCAGCAUUCAGGAGGAGCAGGAUAGCCGUGAGCUGGGGACACCCUGAGUUUGAUAGUGAGGUUAAGCUAGCCUGGGCUACAGAGUAGUAGGACCUGUCUCAAACAAAGAAAUAGGAACCCAAAAGGGAAAGUCCAAAAUGUUUUAAAAUUAAUUUUGAGCAGCAAUAUGAUCCUUGUACUUUAUACACCCUAUCUAUGUUUACAAAUCAUAGACAUAAAUAACACAGGUACACUCAAAUAUUGUAGGAAACUUGCCAUUUCCCUAGGGGGCUGUGGAGAUGGCAAAAUGGUUAAGAACACUUGCUAUCCUUCCAGAGGGUCCCAGCAUCCACAUGGCUGCUACAAUCCUCUGUAACUAGCUCCAGGGAACCCAACACACGGAUCCCAUACAUGGACACAGAGGCAGAUGAACCCCAAUGAGUUUAAGGAUAGCCUGGUUUACGCAAACCAGGGUUACAUAAGUGAGACCUGUCUUGAAAAACAAAACAAACUUCCAAAACUUAAAAAAAAAAAAAAAACAAAAAAAAAACCCCAAAUCCCCUGACUACAAUGUUAGGUAACUAGAUAGGCAUGAGCAGGUGAGCAGGCCUGGGGGCUUCUGACGAUGGACUCCAUCUCCCAUUCCCUUAUGGAAGGGUGGAGGGAGCACUUUGUUAAGGGCCACACAGAGGAAAGCUAAUUCUCCCUGGUUAGAGGAAUGGAAUCUGAGUUCUUCUCUGGCCCGUGGUGGAGAGGAAACAUUCUGGUUUGCUUUAAAUACUAGGACACCACAUGCAACUGCCCUCUCCCUUUACAGUUAAUCCAACCUAGCCAGACAGUCGCUUAGCCAGGAUGCCCCUCCCUUAACCAGGAUACCUCUGAUUCGCCUGAAGACAAGUGAAGGAAAUGGAGAGAGAACUUUCCCUUUAAGGAGACUCCUUAGGUCUCAUAAGCCUCUCUAUUGUGCAGUUGUUGCACAGGUUCAUGGUUCAUCCGACUGUGUUCCUGAGUUCUGGCUCAAAAGUCUAACUUUCUUUUCUCCUUCCAGUCUUUUCUUGGGUACUUGCCAGGAUGCUAAGCAGGCUUGCUCUAGCUCUCCCCGCUCUCUGGCUGAUUUCUCUGAAGUCUUCUAACAUCUGCGGCUCCCUGCAGACCUAUGGCUGAUCUAUGUAACUCAAAAUGCACAAUUUUCUUUCUUUCCUGUCUUUCUCUUAAAGCUACUCGAAUUCCAAUUUGCCUGUCUUGUUAUUUUCUCAUAUUUUAAUAAAACGGCCCUCAAGCUUCCUUUAAGGCCAUUACAAAAUUUUUUCUUUCUUCCCCAAAGACAGAAUCUUACUGUGUAGCGUUGGCUGACCUGGAACUCCAAAUGCAGAUCAGGCUGGUCUUGAACUCCUGGAGAUCCAGUCUGCUUCUGCCUCCUGAUGGCUGGGAUUAAAAGGCAUGUGCCAACACACCCAGCUUCUAUCAACGACACCAAGAACCCAUAAAAAGGGAAUCAAUUCCCCAGUAACACAUGUUUAAAGGAUACAUAUGCAACAUGAUUUUCAUGUUAAGACUGUGGGUCUCUAAGAUAGCUCUUGUGUGCUUCUUGUGUCUCUGAUUCUCUUGCACUGGGGACAGAAGAUACUCAGCCUGGAGCUAUAGCAAUCACAAUGGCUCAGUGGGUAAUGGCACUUGCUGCCAAGCUUCAUGUUUGAGUUUGAUCUUUGGGCCCCACAUGGUUAAGAAGACAGAACAGAUGACUUCUGUAUUUAUGUGUGCACGUACCCCCUUGUAUGCUCAUAUACACAAAUGUAAUGUAUACCUAUAAACAUAAAUUAUAAACAUGUAUUUUAUACAUAUGUAUAUAUACAUACACACACAUAUAUGUAUAUAUAAUAAUAUAGUAUGUAUAUACAAUAAUGUGUAUAUGCAAUAAUGAUAGUAAUAAUAAGUAGGAACAUAGGAUGAGCUUGGAACUUGGGUGCCCUGCCACAGGGCUCUUGCCUAGCAUGUAGUUUGAAAUGUUCUGUUGCCCUUGUGUGUGCUGCUGUGCUCCUCUUUGAGCUUGAAGGUGCAGAGGAGUUGGAGGCUGGGCGGAGCUAUUUGAACGAUAAUGUGUGUGUCUAUGUCUCUUAAUGUUCAGAGUUGGAGAGAUGGUUCAGCAGGUAAAGAUGCUUGUGCUACAAGCUGGACAGUCUGAGUCUGAUCCUGAGAACCUACAUAAAGAUGGAAGGAGGGAACCAACUCCACAAAGUUGACCUCUGACCUCCAU
rnacentral:lncRNA from 1 species